GGACCAUUUUACGUUCCCGCCAACAUAAUUCUUUACGCUGGGCUGUUUGACAUCUUGAGUUUUACACAUGAAAGUAAAUCACGCGACGUUAUUUGUGCAGAAAAAUCAACAGCAAAUUAGAAGGCUCCGAGUGUACAAUUUCCCAUUGACGUUUAUAGAGAUAUACACGGGAUGAGUGACGUAUCGGAUCUGCUCGACUUGUUGCCAGUUUAUUACUCGAGAUUGUUUCCAUUCGCUGAUUAUCACAGAUGGCUGAGUUAUGGAAACGCUGGCACUUUCAACAAAAGAGAAUUUUCGUUUACACUCUCAGACGAUAUUUACAUACGUUAUCAGUCUUUCAACGAUCAGAAGGGACUGUCGGACGAAAUUAAAAGGCUGCUGCCACAUAAGAUUGAUAUAGGAGCGGUUUACAAUGCCCAGCCUAAGGAUCAGAGGAGAGGUCCUAAUUUUCAGCCAGUUGAGAGGGAAUUAGUCUUCGACAUAGAUAUGACUGAUUAUGAUGAAGUGAGAACAUGUUGCAAAGGGGCUGACAUUUGUAGCAAAUGUUGGAAGUUCAUGUCACUUGCCUGCAAAAUAUUAGACAAUGCACUGAGAUUGGAUUUUGGCUAUAAGCAUAUCUUAUGGGUAUUUUCGGGCAGAAGAGGUAUUCAUUGUUGGGUAUGCGACUCUGCAGCACGUAGCUUAUCGGGGCCGGUUCGUGCAGCAGUCGCUGAAUAUUUGCAGAUUAUAGGUGGAGGUGAAUUCAUGAAGAAGAAGGUGCAUCUUACUGGCGAUAAGAUUCAUCACUCUAUUAAACGCGCUCUCGACAUAAUUGACCCCGUCUUCAUUGAAAUGUGUGUCAAAGAGCAGAAUAUGUUGGGCACGGAAGAGGGAAUCGAAAAGUUUCUGCCGAUACUGCCUAACGACGAGGACAGACAAGAGAUGAAGGCGUUGUUCAGUAAGGAAAGCACCAGCGAGGCAAGGUGGAACAUCUUCGUACAAUUUGUUGAAUCUAAACGGACAGGGGGGGACCGGAAAUGGUACUUGUACCGUCAUCUGGUAGAAGAGGUGAAAUUGCAAUAUUCUUACCCGAGAUUGGACAUCAAUGUGAGCAAAGGUUUAAACCAUUUACUGAAGUCGCCGUUCUGCGUCCAUCCGAAGACCGGCAAGAUUUGUAUACCAUUCAAUGCGAACGCGGUCGAUAAGUUUGAUCCCGACAAGGUUCCCACCAUAAUGACGUUGAUUGAAGAGAUCAACGUGUACGACGUGAAGGACAAGGCCGAGGAAGAGACUUAUGACCUGAAUAAGAAGCGUAUCAAGGAUUAUAAAAAGACGAGUUUGAACAAGUCACUCCACGUGUUUCAGGAAUUCUUACGACACUUGGAGGCCGAGAGACGCGAGCAGAGACUGAAAGGAAAACGCAAGAAGCGCAACUUGGUUCACCUAAAAAGAACAAAUCUUUUAAUUCGUAAAUUGUAGGAGCUUUGGAUGAUGUGAUUUCAAGGAGUAUAAAUUCUUUUAUUGAAUUCUUUUAUUGGAUUAUAUAUGGAUACGUUGUGGAGUUACAGCCGACAGCAUGGAAUUUUGAUGGAUCUCUGUGAUGAUCUUGAGACAUGAUGCUGCGGUUUGAUAUAGUAAUAUUAUUUAUAAGGCGUUUCGCAAUAUAUUUUCGUUACAUAAAGAAUAAAGAAAGAAAGAGAGACAGAGGAACUUUUCUGUACUCUCAACUCCCA